UUAAGCGACUAAGCGUACACGGUGGAUGCCCUGGCAGUCAGAGGCGAUGAAGGACGUGCUAAUCUGCGAAAAGCGUCGGUAAGGUGAUAUGAACCGUUAUAGCCGGCGAUGUCCGAAUGGGGAAACCCAGUGCAAUUCGUUGCACUAUCGUUAACUGAAUACAUAGGUUAACGAGGCGAACCGGGGGAACUGAAACAUCUAAGUACCCCGAGGAAAAGAAAUCAACCGAGAUUCCCCCAGUAGCGGCGAGCGAACGGGGAGCAGCCCAGAGUCUGAAUCAGCUUGUGUGUUAGUGGAACGGUCUGGAAAGUCCGACGGUACAGGGUGAUAGUCCCGUACACCAAAAUGCACAGGUUGUGAACUCGAAGAGUAGGGCGGGACACGUGGUAUCCUGUCUGAAUAUGGGGGGACCAUCCUCCAAGGCUAAAUACUCCUGACUGACCGAUAGUGAACCAGUACCGUGAGGGAAAGGCGAAAAGAACCCCGGCGAGGGGAGUGAAAAAGAACCUGAAACCGUGUACGUACAAGCAGUGGGAGCACCUUCGGGUGUGACUGCGUACCUUUUGUAUAAUGGGUCAGCGACUUAUAUUCUGUAGCAAGGUUAACCGUAUAGGGGAGCCGCAGGGAAACCGAGUCUUAACUGGGCGUUAAGUUGCAGGGUAUAGACCCGAAACCCGGUGAUCUAGCCAUGGGCAGGUUGAAGGUUGGGUAACACUAACUGGAGGACCGAACCGACUAAUGUUGAAAAAUUAGCGGAUGACUUGUGGCUGGGGGUGAAAGGCCAAUCAAACCGGGAGAUAGCUGGUUCUCCCCGAAAGCUAUUUAGGUAGCGCCUCGUGAACUCAUCUUCGGGGGUAGAGCACUGUUUCGGCUAGGGGGUCAUCCCGACUUACCAACCCGAUGCAAACUACGAAUACCGAAGAAUGUUAUCACGGGAGACACACGGCGGGUGCUAACGUCCGUCGUGAAGAGGGAAACAACCCAGACCGCCAGCUAAGGUCCCAAAGUCAUGGUUAAGUGGGAAACGAUGUGGGAAGGCACAGACAGCCAGGAUGUUGGCUUAGAAGCAGCCAUCAUUUAAAGAAAGCGUAAUAGCUCACUGGUCGAGUCGGCCUGCGCGGAAGAUGUAACGGGGCUAAACCAUGCACCGAAGCUGCGGCAGCGACACUAUGUGUUGUUGGGUAGGGGAGCGUUCUGUAAGCCUGCGAAGGUGUGCUGUGAGGCAUGCUGGAGGUAUCAGAAGUGCGAAUGCUGACAUAAGUAACGAUAAAGCGGGUGAAAAGCCCGCUCGCCGGAAGACCAAGGGUUCCUGUCCAACGUUAAUCGGGGCAGGGUGAGUCGACCCCUAAGGCGAGGCCGAAAGGCGUAGUCGAUGGGAAACAGGUUAAUAUUCCUGUACUUGGUGUUACUGCGAAGGGGGGACGGAGAAGGCUAUGUUAGCCGGGCGACGGUUGUCCCGGUUUAAGCAUGUAGGCUGAUUGUCCAGGCAAAUCCGGAUAAUCAAGGCUGAGGUGUGAUGACGAGGCACUACGGUGCUGAAGUAACAAAUGCCCUGCUUCCAGGAAAAGCCUCUAAGCAUCAGGUAACAUCAAAUCGUACCCCAAACCGACACAGGUGGUCAGGUAGAGAAUACCAAGGCGCUUGAGAGAACUCGGGUGAAGGAACUAGGCAAAAUGGUGCCGUAACUUCGGGAGAAGGCACGCUGGUGUGUAGGUGAAGUCCCUGCGGAUGGAGCUGAGACCAGUCGAAGAUACCAGCUGGCUGCAACUGUUUAUUAAAAACACAGCACUGUGCAAACACGAAAGUGGACGUAUACGGUGUGACGCCUGCCCGGUGCCGGAAGGUUAAUUGAUGGGGUUAUCCGUAAGGAGAAGCUCUUGAUCGAAGCCCCGGUAAACGGCGGCCGUAACUAUAACGGUCCUAAGGUAGCGAAAUUCCUUGUCGGGUAAGUUCCGACCUGCACGAAUGGCGUAAUGAUGGCCAGGCUGUCUCCACCCGAGACUCAGUGAAAUUGAACUCGCUGUGAAGAUGCAGUGUACCCGCGGCAAGACGGAAAGACCCCGUGAACCUUUACUAUAGCUUGACACUGAACAUUGAGCCUUGAUGUGUAGGAUAGGUGGGAGGCUUUGAAGCGUGGACGCCAGUCUGCGUGGAGCCAACCUUGAAAUACCACCCUUUAAUGUUUGAUGUUCUAACGUUGGCCCCUUACCGGGGUUGCGGACAGUGUCUGGUGGGUAGUUUGACUGGGGCGGUCUCCUCCCAAAGCGUAACGGAGGAGCACGAAGGUUAGCUAAUCCUGGUCGGACAUCAGGAGGUUAGUGCAAUGGCAUAAGCUAGCUUGACUGCGAGCGUGACGGCGCGAGCAGGUGCGAAAGCAGGUCAUAGUGAUCCGGUGGUUCUGAAUGGAAGGGCCAUCGCUCAACGGAUAAAAGGUACUCCGGGGAUAACAGGCUGAUACCGCCCAAGAGUUCAUAUCGACGGCGGUGUUUGGCACCUCGAUGUCGGCUCAUCACAUCCUGGGGCUGAAGUAGGUCCCAAGGGUAUGGCUGUUCGCCAUUUAAAGUGGUACGCGAGCUGGGUUUAGAACGUCGUGAGACAGUUCGGUCCCUAUCUGCCGUGGGCGCUGGAGAAUUGAGGGGGGCUGCUCCUAGUACGAGAGGACCGGAGUGGACGCAUCACUGGUGUUCGGGUUGUCAUGCCAAUGGCACUGCCCGGUAGCUAAAUGCGGAAGAGAUAAGUGCUGAAAGCAUCUAAGCACGAAACUUGCCCCGAGAUGAGUUCUCCCUGAGACUUUAAGUCUCCUGAAGGAACGUUAAAGACGAUGACGUUGAUAGGCCGGGUGUGUAAGCGCAGCGAUGCGUUGAGCUAACCGGUACUAAUGAACCGUGAGGCUUAACCU
rnacentral:rRNA from 1 species